rnacentral:lncRNA from 1 species
CUCAGACUUUUGUUUACUUUCCAGGCAGUGUAGCCUGGGAGGCUCCAGGAGGGUAACCCAUAAUGCAGGGCAGAAGAACAUGACUCUUCAGGGUUCAUUGACUCAGAGACCAGGGUCAGCGCUAAGCCAUAGCUAUAGCUAGGGAGGAAGUUGGAACCGCCAGAUCUCCUUGUGUCAUCACUGCAUCUCAGUGCUAAAGGCGUCACUACAGACCCUGGUUCGAUUCCAGGCUGUAUCACAACCGGCAGUGAUUGGGAGUCCAUAGGGCGAGGCAAAAUUGGCCCAGUGUCGUCCGGAGUAUCCUCCCUCAUGACAGGCCUGCUGCUGCAUGCCUCUACAAAGACAAUGUAUGUACCCCAGUCCUAAAACUGAGCAUGAUUGCCGCUGCAGUGGAGCUGAUUGACGGAUGAAUGAAUGGAUGGAUGGAGAGGGAAGGCAGAGCCUCAGGGAAGGUUAUGUUACAAAGAGCUGAUAGGCAGAGCAGGCAACAGAUGGCACACAGACAGCAGAGUUGGGGACAGAUAUGCAGGGACAGACUGGCAGAGACAGGGAGUCUCAGGUAAGUUUGUUGAGUCUUUGUUUGGCAACAUUAUAAAAGGUUCUCAAUUUUUUUAACUUGUAAAAUAGGAACAUAAUGGAAAAUGCCAUGGAUACCCCCACUCUCAACUUAAACUGGUGACUGAACUAAGAUUUGUUAAAGGCAAUGGUAUUGCUGUUGUGAUUAGUUGUGUAGUUUUCGGUACCGGUAGUUAGGAGUACGUCAAACACCUUAUUUCUAUGGUUCCUCAAUAUACAUUUACCAUAUUAAAUGUAGGCUAUGUGUUACAGCACUACUUUUGGUGUCCCCCUCAGGAAUUGCUCUUGAGAAAAUGUAAUGUAAUUGUCCCCUCCAAAGUUGAUAUCAGAUUUUCGCCCCUGCUUUUAUCAUAUCUUCUGUCCAAUCUAAAGACAUUUUGAUAACUGAACAUCCUCCAGAUGUGUGACAUGCUGGAAAAGGGACCAGAUGGUUAAAAGUCAUAGGGAAGUUUGAGAUUAGGCCCUCAACUGUCUGGUCUAUGCACGAUACAUGUUGGAAUAAAAUUGACUGUUCAAUAAUGGAAAAUCAUACAGUAUGUAUUCGAAAGGUUAUUCUCAUAUUGAACAUGCGGAUUUUGCAAAUGUGUCUUGAGUAGGAAUUUAACACCAAAAGAGAGGGACGGCAGAGAUAAUAUAUUUUUGCCACUCCACACACCGGGGUCAUGUUCAUUAUGGCACACUGUGGCAAAAAGGUUUUCAACAGAAAAUGAGCAUUUCAAAAUGUACAGGUCAAGUCAUACAGCCCAGUACAUCACUGGGGCCGAACUCAGUCCAUCUAGGACCACUAUAUCAGGCGGUGUGAAAGGAAGGCCCCGGAAAAUUGUUAGACUCCAGUCACCCAAGCCAUAGUCUGACACCAACCGGUUCAUGAACAGCUUCUAUCCCCAAGCCAUAAGACUGCUAAAUAGCUAACAAAAUGGCUACACUGACUAUCUGCAUUGACCCUUCUACUGCUUGAGUUUUUUUGCACUCACACUCACUGACACUCACUGACACUCACUCACUCACUGACACUCACUCACUCACUCACUCACUCACUCACUCACUCACUCACUCACUCACUCACUCACUCACUCACUCACUCACUCACUCACUCACUCACUCACUCACUCACUCACUCACUGACACUCACUCACUCACUGACACUCACUCACUCACUGACACUCACUCACUCACUGACACUCACUCACUCACCACUCACUCACUCACUCACUCACUCACUCACUCACUCACUCACUCACUCACUCACUCACUCACUCACUCACUCACAUCAUUUGCUCAAACACACACAGCACGCACAUACAUUCAUAUUGAUUCUACACACACACACACACACACACACACACACACACACACACACACACACACACACACACACACACACACAC